AAGUCGUAACAAGGUUUCCGUAGGUGAACCUGCGGAAGGAUCAUUAACACGUAUCCAAACGUUAAAACAACCUUUCAGAUUGAUGGUUGCUUGGGGGCACCAGGAGUGGAUAGUUGUAAACGCUCGACCCAAUACAGGUGCUACUCGUGCGCCAUCCUCUAACUCAAAACCUUGUUAAGACAAUGAUUUACUAGAGGAAGCCCAUUUUUCUGCCCUGGGUGUUUGGUGAAUUGUGCAAGGGCAGCGCAGUCAACGAUCGGUGGUCCACACGGCCAUCGACCGGGGGUCGUUACCUCCCUGUGGGGCCAAGUUCAUUCAGGUUGAACAUGAUGCAUGUCUACCGCGCCCGACGAAAGUCCGACGCACCCCUAACCGAACAACUGUUAACAAUGGAUAUCUUGGUUCUC
rnacentral:misc_RNA from 1 species